rnacentral:rRNA from 1 species
ACCCCUCGGAAAAGCGGGAAUAUAUUCGCAUUUCGCCUCGGAGAAAACGCUAAUUCUUGAACUCCGCCUACAGGCCGCCGAUGCCAGAUAGCUAGUUCGUAGGGUAAGGCUCAACAAGGCGACGAUCUGUAGCUGUCGAGAGGGACGACCAGCCACCACUGGACUGAGACACGGCCCAGACUCCUUACCGGGAGGCAGCAGUGGGGAAUUUGGACAAUGGGCGCAAGCCUGAUCCAGCAAUGCCGCGUGUGUGAAGAAGGCUUCGGGUUGUAAAGCACUUUUGUCCGGAAAGAAAACCGCCUGGCUAAUAUCCGGGCGGGAUGACGGUACCGGAAGAAUAAGCACCGGCUAACUACGUGCCAGCAGCCGCGGUAAUACGUAGGGUGCAAGCGUUAAUCGGAAUUACUGGGCGUAAAGCGUGCGCAGGCGGUUUUGUAAGUCUGUUGUGAAAUCCCCGGGCUUAACCUGGGAAUGGCAAUGGAGACUGCAAGGCUAGAGUUUGGCAGAGGGGGGUAGAAUUCCACGUGUAGCAGUGAAAUGCGUAGAGAUGUGGAGGAACACCGAUGGCGAAGGCAGCCCCCUGGGUCAAGACUGACGCUCAUGCACGAAAGCGUGGGGAGCAAACAGGAUUAGAUACCCUGGUAGUCCACGCCCUAAACGAUGUCUACUAGUUGUCGGGUCUUAAUUGACUUGGUAACGCAGCUAACGCGUGAAGUAGACCGCCUGGGGAGUACGGUCGCAAGAUUAAAACUCAAAGGAAUUGACGGGGACCCGCACAAGCGGUGGAUGAUGUGGAUUAAUUCGAUGCAACGCGAAAAACCUUACCUACCCUUGACAUGUACGGAAGCCACGAGAGAUCGAGGUGUGCUCGAAAGAGAACCGUAACAUAGGUGCUGCAUGGCUGUCGUCAGCUCGUGUCGUGAGAUGUUGGGUUAAGUCCCGCAACGAGCGCAACCCUUGUCAUUAGUUGCUACGAAAGAGCACUCUAAUGAGACUGCCGGUGACAAACCGGAGGAAGGUGGGGAUGACGUCAAGUCCUCAUGGCCCUUAUGGGUAGGGCUUCACACGUCAUACAAUGGUACAUACAGAGGGCCGCCAACCCGCGAGGGGGAGCUAAUCCCAGAAAGUGUAUCGUAGUCCGGAUUGUAGUCUGCAACUCGACUGCAUGAAGUUGGAAUCGCUAGUAAUCGCGGAUCAGCAUUCGCGUAAGCUA